rnacentral:lncRNA from 1 species
CUUUAGGUUUCCUCUGGAACCAUGAGCGGCACAGGAAUAAGUCACCAGCAUGUCUGCUGCAAACACAGCUGCAAAUGACAACCCUGCUGCUGGGGAAAGCAGACGGAGAAUGGAGAACACAACUUCAUCUUGAGGGCUUUUCCUUAGGAGAAGCCACUCCAGUGCUUGUGCUCUUGAACUUCUGAGGUGAUUGAAAAUUGCAUUCUUAGAAAUGAGAAGAGGAAUUUAAAAAGUCCGAAGACUACUCAGUUCAAAAUAACUCCUGUUUUUGAGAGCCUGGACUUUGACUUGGGAACCCUUCAAAGCACCACGAGCCAUGUCGUCUGGCUGGAAAAGUGGAUUGUUUGGCCAGGUCAGGUUAUAUCAAACAAGUUCUUGAGCAUGUCAGAGCAACCACACCUCCUGGCUCUUCAGAUGCAGGAGGUAUUUAUCCCAGCUUUUGCCAGACUUCACAAAAGACUCUUGCAUGCUUCUACCCUCACGUGCCAUGGCCUGUGUGACUUGAUACCUUAA